rnacentral:rRNA from 1 species
AGAGUUUGAUCCUGGCUCAGGAUGAACGCUAGCGACAGGCUUAACACAUGCAAGUCGAGGGGCAGCACAGGUAGCAAUACCGGGUGGCGACCGGCGCACGGGUGAGUAACGCGUAUGCAACUUGCCUAUCAGAGGGGGAUAACCCGGCGAAAGUCGGACUAAUACCGCAUGAAGCAGGGAUCCCGCAUGGGAAUAUUUGCUAAAGAUUCAUCGCUGAUAGAUAGGCAUGCGUUCCAUUAGGCAGUUGGCGGGGUAACGGCCCACCAAACCGACGAUGGAUAGGGGUUCUGAGAGGAAGGUCCCCCACAUUGGUACUGAGACACGGACCAAACUCCUACGGGAGGCAGCAGUGAGGAAUAUUGGUCAAUGGCCGAGAGGCUGAACCAGCCAAGUCGCGUGAGGGAUGAAGGUUCUAUGGAUCGUAAACCUCUUUUAUAAGGGAAUAAAGUGCGGGACGUGUCCCGUUUUGUAUGUACCUUAUGAAUAAGGAUCGGCUAACUCCGUGCCAGCAGCCGCGGUAAUACGGAGGAUCCGAGCGUUAUCCGGAUUUAUUGGGUUUAAAGGGUGCGUAGGCGGCCUUUUAAGUCAGCGGUGAAAGUCUGUGGCUCAACCAUAGAAUUGCCGUUGAAACUGGGGGGCUUGAGUAUGUUUGAGGCAGGCGGAAUGCGUGGUGUAGCGGUGAAAUGCAUAGAUAUCACGCAGAACCCCGAUUGCGAAGGCAGCCUGCCAAGCCAUUACUGACGCUGAUGCACGAAAGCGUGGGGAUCAAACAGGAUUAGAUACCCUGGUAGUCCACGCAGUAAACGAUGAUCACUAGCUGUUUGCGAUACACUGUAAGCGGCACAGCGAAAGCGUUAAGUGAUCCACCUGGGGAGUACGCCGGCAACGGUGAAACUCAAAGGAAUUGACGGGGGCCCGCACAAGCGGAGGAACAUGUGGUUUAAUUCGAUGAUACGCGAGGAACCUUACCCGGGUUUGAACGCAUUCGGACCGAGGUGGAAACACCUUUUCUAGCAAUAGCCGUUUGCGAGGUGCUGCAUGGUUGUCGUCAGCUCGUGCCGUGAGGUGUCGGCUUAAGUGCCAUAACGAGCGCAACCCUUGCCACUAGUUACUAACAGGUGAUGCUGAGGACUCUGGUGGGACUGCCAGCGUAAGCUGCGAGGAAGGCGGGGAUGACGUCAAAUCAGCACGGCCCUUACAUCCGGGGCGACACACGUGUUACAAUGGCGUGGACAAAGGGAGGCCACCUGGCGACAGGGAGCGAAUCCCCAAACCACGUCUCAGUUCGGAUCGGAGUCUGCAACCCGACUCCGUGAAGCUGGAUUCGCUAGUAAUCGCGCAUCAGCCAUGGCGCGGUGAAUACGUUCCCGGGCCUUGUACACACCGCCCGUCAAGCCAUGGGAGCCGGGGGUACCUGAAGUGCGUAACCGCGAGGAGCGCCCUAGGGUAAAACUGGUGACUGGGGCUAAGUCGUAACAAGGUAGCCGUACCGGAAGGUGCGGCUG